CACCCAACUACCCGGGAGUGUGUUCACCUUUUCGUUACGUACGAGUCGAAAAUUGAUUAAGUCAAUUGUCUUGUUUAUGGCGGUGCCGGUCUUCACGAAAUUAAGUGCAAGUAAAAGCGAACUGAAAGUCAUUAAUUAGCAGCCAUAAAUUCUGGAGAAUCGGGGGCACCCCUUGAAAACUAAGAAAGAUACUCGUGCAAACCCAGGCGUCUUGCAUUCAGUUCGAAAGUCAAGUCUUAAUUUAAACUCGUAUUUCUUUUGCACAUCUUCAAUUGAUUCAAUUCAAGCUCCGGAGCCAUGCCAAUGUAGAGGCAACCCACUAUUGAGAUGAAUUCCGAUGUGAGAUGAGCAUCAAUGCUUCAUGCAAUGUGACGUCAAGCAGGGGACAUGCACGGGAAAGCAGCAAAUUAAUUUUUAAAAAUAAAUUCAAAUUAGUUUCGUAAACAAUGAAUGGAUUCUAGCAG